GACGAACGCUGGCGGCAGGCUUAACACAUGCAAGUCGAGCGCCCCGCAAGGGGAGCGGCAGACGGGUGAGUAACGCGUGGGAACGUACCCUUUGCUACGGAAUAGCUCCGGGAAACUGGAAUUAAUACCGUAUGUGCCCUACGGGGGAAAGAUUUAUCGGCAAAGGAUCGGCCCGCGUUGGAUUAGCUAGUUGGUGGGGUAAUGGCCUACCAAGGCGACGAUCCAUAGCUGGUCUGAGAGGAUGAUCAGCCACAUUGGGACUGAGACACGGCCCAAACGCCUACGGGAGGCAGCAGUGGGGAAUCUUAGACAAUGGGCGCAAGCCUGAUCUAGCCAUGCCGCGUGAGCGAUGAAGGCCUUAGGGUUGUAAAGCUCUUUCAGUGGGGAAGAUAAUGACUGUACCCACAGAAGAAGCCCCGGCUAACUCCGUGCCAGCCGCCGCUGUAACAC
rnacentral:rRNA from 1 species